UACGUAGGGCGCAAGCGUUGUCCGGAAUCAUUGGGCGUAAAGAGCUCGUAGGCGGCCUGUCGCGUCUGCUGUGAAAUCCCGGGGCUUAACCCCGGGCGUGCAGUGGAUACGGGCUGGCUGGAGGCAGGCAGGGGAGAACGGAAUUCCCGGUGUAGCGGUGAAAUGCGCAGAUAUCGGGAGGAACACCGGUGGCGAAGGCGGUUCUCUGGGCCUGUACUGACGCUGAGGCACGAAAGCCAGGGGAGCAAACGGG
rnacentral:rRNA from 1 species